rnacentral:snRNA from 1 species
GGAUGUGAGGGCGAUCUGGCUGCAACAUCUGUCACCCCAUUGAUCGCCAGGGUUGAUUCGGCUGACCUGGCUGGCUAGGCAGGUGUCCCCUUCCUCCCUCACCGCUCCAUGUGCGUCCCUCCCGAAGCUGCGCGCUCGGUUGAAGAGGACGACCUUCCCCGAUAGAAGGAAGACCGUCCUUUGGUCAAGGGUAUACGAGUAGCUGCGCUCCCCUGCUAGAACCUCCAAACAAGUCUCAAGAGUAUACGGGUGUGGGACAAGAGGAAAGUCAAAGGAAAUAGAGGAAAGAGUUAGAAGGCAAAGGGCAUUUAUAG